CUCUCUCCCACUCAGGAUGUAAAUCCCUUUGUCCAGCGUAUCCACCUCACUUCAUCUCAUCACAUAGGCGUCGUAUGCAUCAUGUCACAUCAUUACAAGUAGAAAGGACAGCAGGAGCGGAGACUCCAUCUGAACUCUGGUUUUCUAGACUCAUAACCCAGAGAGAGGCCAUCUGUGAUACUCACCUGGGAAGCCGUGUCACCACCCCACAGGCUGAGUUCUAUCACCUGUUCUGACGCACUCUGAGCUGCCCUGUCCCUUUCUGGAACGAAAACAGCAUCAACACAAGCCAAAUCCAUCAGUAGAUGGCAUGGAUUAAGAAAAUUUGAUCUAGACCUCAAUAUACAGAAGAGCUGGAAGAGAUCAGUCCAGUUUAAGAACCCAUUGUGGCCCUCGAGUCAAAAAGUUUGCCCACCCCUGGUUGGAAGAAGAAGAGAUGUGGCAGAAGAAGAAGGCAGAGAGAUUUGAAACUUGAGAAUUCAAUGCACUGUUGCUGGCUCUAAAAUGGGUUCAAGGACUGGAGAGAAGCCUCCCAGUAGCUAAAGGAAGCCCCUGGCUGACAUCCAGCAAGGACACAGAGAUUUCAGUCCUGCAACCCCAAGAAACUGGAUUCUGCCAACAACCUGAAUGAACUUGGCAACAGAUUCUUUCUAGAGCCUUCUGGUAAGAAUCCAGCCAGCACCAUGAGAAACACAGAGCAGAGUCAUCACUCUUGACAACCUGUGUUUCUGACCUAUAUAUCUCUAUUGUUUUAAUUAACUAAUUGUGUGAUGAUUUGUAUGGCAGCAACAAAAAUCUAAUAUACAAUCUUUCAUUCA